rnacentral:rRNA from 1 species
AACGAACGCUGGCGGCGUGCCUAACACAUGCAAGUCGAGCGCGAAAAGGGCAACCUGAGUAGAGCGGCGCACGGGUGCGUAACACGUGGGUAAUCUGCCUUAGAGUCGAGGAUAACCUUCCGAAAGGUUGGCUAAUACUCGGUAAGCUUACGGUGUCUUCGGACGCUGUGGGAAAAGUAGGCCUCUGUUUACAAGCUUACGCUCUGAGAUGAGCCCGCGGCCCAUCAGCUAGUUGGCGGUGUAACGGACCACCAAGGCAACGAGGGGUAGCUGGUCUGAGAGGACGAUCAGCCACACUGGAACUUAGACACGGUCCAGACUCCUACGGGAGGCAGCAGUGGGGAAUUUUCCACAAUGGGCGAAAGCCUGAUGGAGCAACGCCGCGUGUGUGAUGAAGGUUUUCGGAUCGUAAAGCACUUUCGACUGGGACGAAAAACCUUUGGCUAACAUCCAGGGGCCUGACGGUACCAGGAGAAGAAGCACCGGCUAACUCUGUGCCAGCAGCCGCCGUAUGAC